rnacentral:rRNA from 1 species
UACGUAGGCAGCAAGCGUUGUUCGGAGUUACUGGGCGUAAAGGGUGCGUAGGCGGCUUUUUAAGUUUGGUGUGAAAUCUCCCGGCUCAACUGGGAGGGUGCGCCGAAUACUGAGAGGCUAGAGUGUGGGAGAGGAAAGCGGAAUUCCUGGUGUAGCGGUGAAAUGCGUAGAUAUCAGGAGGAACACCGGUGGUGUAAACGGCUUUCUGGACCAUAACUGACGCUGAGGCACGAAAGCGUGGGUAGCAAACAGG